ensembl:lncRNA
UUUUUUUACAUUUUACAGUCGAUUGUGUCGUCGGGUUUGCGCUCUGAGAUUGUGGAUAUGUUUGCUGAACAUACACGUUUACACGCUUUGCAUGUAUUGACCUCCCCCAUCUACCAACCCCAACCUCUGUGGCGGAGAAGAGAAAUGGGUGGUAUUUUUUGGGGAGCUUGCGUUUCCUUUUUUAGCCUCCAUUUUUAUUUCAACAAGUGUGUCGGAUCGAGAGAGGGUUUUAAGUGCGAGAAUAGAAUGACUCGGAUGCUUAGCGCUCAGCUUUGUUUUGCCGAGUUCGAUCCAGUUGAUUUGGCAUAUUUUAUUGUCGUCUGUGGUGGAUAAUAAACUG